UACGUAGGGGGCAAGCGUUGUCCGGAAUCAUUGGGCGUAAAGCGCGCGUAGGCGGCCCUGUAAGUCCGUUGUGAAAGUCGAAGGCUCAACCUUCGAAAGCCGAUGGAUACUGCAGGGCUAGAGUCCGGAAGAGGCGAGUGGAAUUCCUGGUGUAGCGGUGGAAUGCGCAGAUAUCAGGAGGAACACCAAUAGCGAAGGCAGCUCGCUGGGACGGUACUGACGCUAAGGCGCGAAAGCUAGGGGAGCGAACAGG
rnacentral:rRNA from 1 species